rnacentral:rRNA from 1 species
GUUGUUGGGUAGGGGAGCGUUCUGUAAGCCUGUGAAGGUGGCCUGUGAGGGUUGCUGGAGGUAUCAGAAGUGCGAAUGCUGACAUAAGUAACGAUAAAGCGGGUGAAAAGCCCGCUCGCCGGAAGACCAAGGGUUCCUGUCCAACGUUAAUCGGGGCAGGGUGAGUCGACCCCUAAGGCGAGGCCGAAAGGCGUAGUCGAUGGGAAACGGGUUAAUAUUCCCGUACUUGGUGUUACUGCGAAGGGGGGACGGAGAAGGCUAUGUUGGCCGGGCGACGGUUGUCCCGGUUUAAGCGUGUAGGUGUGUGUUCCAGGUAAAUCCGGUUCACUUUAACACUGAGGCGUGAUGACGAGGC